rnacentral:piRNA from 1 species
UACAUGCUACCUGCCUGCCUAUGUAAUGGU